CUUUUCUAUCACAUAUCCUCCAUUUAUUAGAGAGGGGCAGAAAUGAUCCUGUGCCUAAACUUUUUAUUCUUAAUUGUACUCCUUGGAGGAGUCCAGUCUCAAGUACAGCUGGUGGAGUCUGGAGGGGAUAUGAGAAGACCUGGGGAGUCCCUCCGUCUCUCCUGCCAAGCCUCUGGAUUCACCUUCAGCGGCUACCACAUGAGCUGGGUGAGACAGGCUCCAGGGAAAGGAUUGGAAUGGGUUGCUACAUCCGCUGGUUACUACUCAGACAAAGUGAAGGGCCGCUUCACAGUCUCCAGGGACAAUGCCAAAAGCCAGCUGUAUUUGCAAAUGAACAGCCUCAAAGCUGAAGACACGGCAAUUUAUUACUGUGCAAGACACACAGUGAGAGGAAGUGAAUCUGAAGCUUCCUCUGGAUUCAUCUUCAGCAGCUAUUAUAUGCGCUGGGUGAGACAGGCUCCAGGGAAAGGCCUGGAAUGUGUGGCCAACAUACAUCCAAGCUCAUCUAACAUUGCUUCAGAUAGUGGUGCUUACUACUCUGACAAAGUGAAGGGCCACUUCACCAUCUCCAGGGACAAUGCCAAAAGCCAGCUGUACCUGCAAAUGAACAAUCUGAAACCAGAGGACACAGCCGUUUAUUACUGUGUGAGAUGCACAGUGUGA